UACGAAGGGGGCUAGCGUUGCUCGGAAUCACUGGGCGUAAAGCGCACGUAGGCGGACUCUUAAGUCGGUGGUGAAAUCCUGGAGCUCAACUCCAGAACUGCCUUCGAUACUGGGAGUCUCGAGUCCGGGAGAGGUGAGUGGAACUGCGAGUGUAGAGGUGAAAUGCGUAGAUAUCGAGAGGAACACCUGCGGCGAAGGCGGGUAGCUGGGCCGACACUGACGCUGAAGCGCGAAAGCCAGGGGAGCAAACGGG
rnacentral:rRNA from 1 species